rnacentral:rRNA from 1 species
GAGUUUGAUCAUGGCUCAGGAUGAACGCUGGCGGCGUGCCUAACACAUGCAAGUCGAGCGGGAAAUUUCGGAAUGAAACUUCGGUAGAAUGAAGAAAUGGAGAGCGGCGGACGGGUGAGUAACGCGUAGGCAAUCUGCCCCGUACAGAGGGAUAGCCUCGGGAAACCGGGAUUAAAACCUCAUAACGCAUUCAGCCCGCAUGGGAAGGAUGCCAAAGAUUUAUCGGUAUGGGAUGGGCCUGCGUCUGAUUAGUUAGUUGGUGAGGUAACGGCUCACCAAGGCGACGAUCAGUAGCCGACCUGAGAGGGUAAUCGGCCACAUUGGAACUGAGACACGGUCCAAACUCCUACGGGAGGCAGCAGUGGGGAAUAUUGCACAAUGGGCGAAAGCCUGAUGCAGCAACGCCGCGUGAGCGAAGAAGGCCUUUGGGUCGUAAAGCUCUGUCCUAUGGGAAGAAGA